UACGGGGGGGGCAAGCGUUGUUCGGAAUUACUGGGCGUAAAGGGCUCGUAGGCGGCCAACUAAGUCAGACGUGAAAUCCCUCGGCUUAACCGGGGAACUGCGUCUGAUACUGGCUGUCUUGAGUUCGGGAGAGGUGAGUGGAAUGCCGAGUGUAGAGGUGAAAUUCGUAGAUAUUCGGCGGAACACCAGUGGCGAAGGCGACUCACUGGCCCGAUACUGACGCUGAGGCGCGAAAGCGUGGGGAGCAAACAGG
rnacentral:rRNA from 1 species